UACGGGGGGAGCAAGCGUUGUUCGGAUUUACUGGGCGUAAAGGGCGGGUAGGCGGCCACCGCAAGUCAGUUGUGAAAUCUCCGGGCUUAACCCGGAAAGGUCAACUGAUACUGCGGGGCUAGAGUGCAGAAGGGGCAACUGGAAUUCUCGGUGUAGCGGUGAAAUGCGUAGAUAUCGAGAGGAACACCUGCGGCGAAGGCGGGUUGCUGGGCUGACACUGACGCUGAACUGCGAAAGCUAGGGGAGCAAACAGG
rnacentral:rRNA from 1 species